CACUCAGUCAGAAAUAAACUCACAAUCCUUUACCGCUUGCCCGAUACUCUCCUCCAUGGUGCUCGAAACCUUGCGUGCACCUUCCCCUGGUAUUGUUGUGUUUACUUGGGACUUGGUUUGCUGUAUUGGAGAUGUGUGUUUUGAUGGACUCAGUCUUAAGUAGAGAUGAGUAUCUUGCUGGUGGAACUUAAGGACAGGAAGAAGAUUGUUUUCGGUUUAGAACUCUAGCCUUUGUGUAAAGUAUAGCAAAGCAAAGUCAACAAGCAAAAAGUUGUUAGUUUCAAUGAACUAAUUGAGAAUUUGAGAAUCAGACCAUAGCUGAGCAGAAAAUGAAUAGAAGUAACAUUGACAGGAUGAGGUUGCAGUGAGCCAAGUCCAGCCUAGGAGAC
rnacentral:lncRNA from 10 species